GGAUGACUGCUCAAAGCACCUGCUAAUGGCCUGGAGCAUUCAUGCUUAAAUAUGCAGUUUCUGUAGCACUUUCACUUGGAUGCAGAAACAGAGAGGAAAUCAGUCAAGCAGUCACUCAAUCAAUCCAUCCAUCAAUAUAAUAUAUCCAUUGAAACUGAAAAGUGUGAGGCUCAAGACAAACACAACCAAUGUUUCUUAGUAUAGUAUGCAAUAAACAACUGAAUAUUCUAUCCACCAAACUGAAUGCCUACUGUAUACCUGGAGGGCCG
rnacentral:lncRNA from 11 species